UACAUACUGUGCAGCGUUUCACAAACUAUAAUCUGCCAUUUUCAGGGCAGGGUAGGGUGGCAAAAGAGAUCCACAACUGUUCUGCUAGUAUUCUACUCGCUUGAAACGGUAUAUUUACAUUCUCCAUUUUUUUUCCCUGUAAAUGUUCUUUUAUUAUUUUGGCACUUUGCUCAUCGGUACAAUGUGGCCAUUUGUGCGCGAAAACAAAGUCCCAUCAGUGCGCGUACAACAGUAUAAUGGGGGCAGUGUCUGUUUUGAUUUGUACGUAAUGCCCAGCCUAAAUGGCUGAUUGUUCAUUAACAAAGAGAGACGCUUGUUUACCGAAAUCAAUAAAGGAUCACAUAUAAAAAUAAUGAACAAUUUCGAAACACGCUGUACGAUUUCCACCUUAUUAACCAUUUUCGUGUAAGAGUUUUAUACGGGUACGUGUUAUUUGGGAUUAGAUGACGUUUUUCUUAAACAGUUUCCAAUUAGGAUUAACGAGUGCCUAAAUUUUCAGAACGUUGACAUCAUGCACGCUCGAUGCAUGCUAAGGAUGCGCAAAGAAGUGGAAUGUGCACUAAGACCAGUGAGACGAUCCGCCAUUGUAUUCCUCGGGUACCGAAGAACUGAGAAUGAACUUACAGUUCACUUAAAUAUUGGUCUUAGCCAAGCUGAGGCACGACAAGGCAGCUACCACGGCUUUAUUUUGAAGACCAAAUACAGCAACAUAUCGUCGUUUUAUAAUGCAGUAAGUCCGCUGAAGUCCCAAGCGGCCCAAGAACCAUUUCUAUGCUGUUCCACAAGAACAUCUGGCGUUAUAACCAGGUUGCUUCUGCAACAAGGGCGACAUAACACGAUAUUGUAUAGCUUUAUCCAGCACGCCGUCUUCGUGUGAACCUGAUGAGCCCCGACAUAUGAACUAUGAACAUGAAAUAUGAACAUUAAAUAUGAACAUGAACUAUGAACAUGAAAUAUGAACAUGAAAUAUGAACAUGAACUAGGAACAUGAAAUGUGGACAUGAUAUAUGAACAUGAAAUAUGAACAUGAAAUGUGGACAUGAUAUAUGAACAUAAAGUGGGAACAUGAAAUGUGAACAUGAAAUAUGAGCCCCGCUCUGGAAAAACGGGGCUUAAUACAUGUGCGAAAAGUGUCGUUCCAGAUUAGCCUGUGCGCUCCAUUACGAUAUGUUCCGCUUGUAUUAUACUGUUCUUGGAAAGGAAGUCUUUUCUUAGCGAAAAUUCAGUUUUAAUUAAAAGUGUCGACCCUGAUUAGCCUUUGUGGACUGUAUUAAGACCUGUUCUACCAAAAAAAAAUAAUUCAGGAAUCGCCCAAGAACAUGCAGACAAACCAUGUUCUUAAUAAUGAUGUCCUUUUCAAAAACAAUUUUUCAUUACGAAUCAUAACUAGAUUGACUACCUAGCAGCCUAAGAAUGUUUUUCUGUAAUCUAAGACUAUCGGUUCAAGAAUACAAACUGGUAGAUAUGGAAGAAAUAGAAUUGCUAGGGAUCAGCGUUAUUGUUUAUUUUGUAAUUCACAAUAUAUUGAAAUUUGAUAUCUUGUAAUGCCCAUUUUAAGUGGAGAUACGCAAAAAAAUAUGUGCCAAAGUAUUAAUACCAACGCCCAUUAAUGUUUAAAUGUUUAAAAAUUGUGGGCAUUGAUAACAAUUCCAAAUAAGUAAAAUUUCUGUUUCUAUUAAUUACACAAUAAAUAAAAGAAACUCAUUGUUAAAUGUAGGUUCAUCCUCGUAAAACAUAGACACGUACUUAAAUAUCCUGGAUUAACAGCAUGUAUAUGUAUAAAAUAGUCAAGUGUUAUAUGUACUGAAAUAUAUAACGUAUGUACUGAAAAUAUAUGAUUAACGUUCCAUGAAUCUUCUUAAGCAUGCUUUGUUUGUUUUGUUAUAUUAUCGAUGUACAUUGUAUAAGUCAUAAUCAACACACGAUCUGGUCUGAUCUGUUCUGUUAAUUUACUGACACCUUACACACACAUGCAUGGCAACGAAUGGGGCGCGUUAAAUUGGAUAGAUCUACAACAUGUUGCUAUAAUCGGAGAUAAGUUUUCUCGAUUGUUGCUUCUUAAAAUUAAGUGUUUGCUGUUAUGAUGAAGAAUUUCCGUGGGGAGGCGGGCAAAGCUAUGUUCCCCUUAACAAUGGAUUUAAUAUGAGGACUUUACUAUUAGGUAAUAAAAUUAAAAUAUAGUGCGUUUCCGAACUCAAUAGACACCGACUGAUUGAUUUACUAAUCGAAUUAAAAAAAUGAAAUGAUGAACCAACUGAGUAAUUAGUGAGUACACUGUUAAAUAAACAAAAUGUUACAAGAUGAAAGAACUGUUGAACAAAUACAGAUAAACCAAAGAAAAACUGAAAAUAUAAGUAAACGUCAGAAUAACUGAAAGGAUUCGCAAAUGAAUGAAAGGACGAACUGAAAUACGAUUACAUGAUAGAAUGAUCGAACGAAUGAACGAAUGAGUAAACGGGAAAAUGAACGAAAGAACGAAUAAACGAUUCAACGAUCGAAUGAACGAAACAACAAAUUAAAGAAUUAAAGAACACAUGAACGAAUGGAUGAACUUAAGAAUAAACAAACGAUUUUAACGAACCAAUUAACGAUCAAAAUAAUAAAUACGUAAACGAGUGAACGAACGAAAAAAACGAUGGAGUGAACCCACAAACGAAUGAAUAAACGAUGGAGUCAACCCACAAACGAAUGAAUAAACGAUGGAGUGAACCCACAAACAAAUGAAUGAAUGAACGAGUAAAAACGAAUAAACGAAUUUAUAAAGGAAUAAGAAAACAAAAGCAAAAAAGAAACGAAUAAAGAACGAAUUUACGAACUAAUGCAUUUACGAGUGAACGAUCUAUAGAACGAAAAAUGAACGUACAAGUGAACAAACGGACGGACGAACGAAUUAGUCAACGAAUUAAUGAAUCAAAUGAACGAACAAAUGAACCAACGGAUGAAAGAACGAGUGGACGGAAGAAUAAACAAACAAGUGAAUGAACUAAUGAACGAACGAGUCGCGUUCUGAGAAAACUGGGCAUAAUGCAUUUGUGUAAAUUGUCGUCCCAGAUUAGCCUGUGCUGUCCGCACAGGCUAAUCAGGGACGACACUUUCCGCUUUUAUGACAUUUUUCGUUUAAAUAAAGUCUCUUCUUAGCAAAAAUCCAAUUUAGGCGGAAAGUGUCGUCCCUGAUUAGCUUUUGCAGAACGCGACUCAAAUGACUAAGCGAACGACCAAAAGGAAAAAUAAGGAAUUAUCCAACCAGUUAGUGAACGCACGAGUGAACGGACCUAUAAAGUCCAAGUGAUCGAAUGGCUGAACGAACGAUUAAACAAAAUGGUUAACGGUCGAACGAACGACGGAACAGACGAACGAAUGACCGAAUGUAUGGCCGAAAUAAUAGACGGACGAAAGAGCAAACGAGAGAACCAACAACUGAGUGAACGCGUGAACGAUCGAGUGAUCUGCCGCAUGCGAGGACAAACAAGUGCACGAAAGAAUGUAUGAAAGAAAACACAUUAACGAACGAAUUAACCACUGAGAAAAUCACGUCAUCUCUGGGCAACAGAGUUAUCAAUAUUUAAUUACUAUAUUCGGGUUAAGAGCAAGUGAACGGUUGCUAUAAAUGAUUUGAGAACAAGCUAACAUAAAGAAAUGUAGGAUUUCAUGAACAAACACAAUUUUAAAAUGGAAAUAUUGAAUGAUUCCACUAAUUUAGUUAAAUUACAAGUACACAUGUAUCAUAAUUCGAAAACAUAUAUAAAUGCUGUUAAGAGGUCGAUUAAUGUUUUUGCUAUCAUUACACAUGUUAAUAUUUAUA